UUGACUUCAAGUAAACAACAAAUCAAAUAAGAUAUUAACAUAGUCAUAUAUCAACAUUCUUUUAAGUAAGGGAUAAUAAUUCAGAAAGCAAAUCAUAAUCAUGGAAAUUUUCAAUGCUAUCUUGUGUUUCACAAUGAUCUUCGUAAGUUUGGCACAAAUCAUUUAUGGAGGAGGAAUAUCACCAGAUCCAUGCAGCCCUGAUCCAUGCCAAAAUGAUGGAAACUGUACUGAAAUUGAUCUUACCCACUACGCGUGUUCAUGUUCUAUGAGUUAUACAGGAACAAAUUGUGAAACAGCACUUCCAAAGGCCGGAAGCACAACACUCUCAGAUGGGAAAAUUGGUGAUAUAGUUGUUGGUUGUUUACUUUUUGUUAUUAUGCUGUUCAUGUAAAGGAGCCGUUGAACACAGUGAAAAAUUAAAAGAUAGCAAGUGCAUGAUUACGACUUCUAAAUGAACUGUAGUGAUUAUAUUUUUUCUCUCCUAUGUCAUCAAAUGAAGUAUAAAGUAAAUGUUUUGUUUAACAUUUAGAGUGAUUUAAUUUGUAUUUUCUCAGUGUUAUCAACCACAUUGUAAAGUAGAUGUUAUGUGUAACAUUCUAAGUGAUUUUAUUUGUAUUUUCUCUAAUGUAAUAAACUGCAUUAAAAAGUAGAUGUUAUGUGUAACAUUCUUAGUGAUUUUAUUUGUAUUUUCUCUAGUGUAAUCAACUGCAUU